UUUGUGUCUCUUUGUAGUCAUUUUGAGUCUCUUUGUAGUUUCUCUGUAUCUCUUUGUAGUCGUUCUGUGUCUCUUUAGUUGCUUUGAGUCUCUUUAGUUGCUUUGUGUCUCUUUGUAGUCGUUUUGUGUCUCUUUGUGGU